rnacentral:rRNA from 1 species
ACCUGACUGCUAUCGGAUUGAUACUAAGCCAUGCGAGUCAUUGUAGCAAUACAAGGCAGACGGCUCAGUAACGCGUAGUCAACCUACCCUAUGGACGGGGAUAACCUCGGGAAACUGAGAAUAAUACCCGAUAGAACACUAUACCUGGAAUGGUUUGUGUUCCAAAUAAUUUAUUGCCGUAGGAUGGGACUGCGGCCUAUCAGUUUGUUGGUGAGGUAAUGGCCCACCAAGACUAUUACAGGUACGGGCUCUGAGAGGAGUGGCCCGGAGAUGGGUACUGAGACACGGACCCAGGCCCUAUGGGGCGCAGCAGGCGAGAAAACUUUGCAAUGUGCGAAAGCACGACAAGGUUAAUCCGAGUGGUUUCUGCUAAAGGAACCUUUUGACAGUCCUAGAAACACUGUUGAAUAAGGGGUGGGCAAGUUCUGGUGUCAGCCGCCGCGGUAAAACCAGCACCUCAAGUGGUCAGGAUGAUUAUUGGGCCUAAAGCAUCCGUAGCCGGCUCUGUAAGUUUUCGGUUAAAUCUGUACGCUCAACGUACAGGCUGCUGGGAAUACUGCAGAGCUAGGGAGUGGGAGAGGUAGACGGUACUCGGGAGGAAGUGGUAAAAUGCCUUGAUCUCUCGAUGACCACCUGUGGCGAAGGCGGUCUACCAGAACACGUCCGACGGUGAGGGAUGAAAGCUGGGGGAGCAAACCGGAUUAGAUACCCGGGUAGUCCCAGCUGUAAACUAUGUAAACUCAGUGAUGCACUGGCUUAUGGCCAGUGCAGUGUUGCAGGGAAGCCGUUAAGUUUACCGCCUGGGAAGUACGUACGCAAGUAUGAA